GAUGAACGCUGGCGGCGUGCCUAAUACAUGCAAGUCGAGCGAACGGACGAGAAGCUUGCUUCUCUGAUGUUAGCGGCGGACGGGUGAGUAACACGUGGAUAACCUACCUAUAAGACUGGGAUAACUUCGGGAAACCGGAGCUAAUACCGGAUAAUAUUUUGAACCGCAUGGUUCAAAAGUGAAAGACGGUCUUGCUGUCACUUAUCGAUGGAUCCGCGCUGCAUUAGCUAGUUGGUAAGGUAACGGCUUACCAAGGCAACGAUGCAUAGCCGACCUGAGAGGGUGAUCGGCCACACUGGAACUGAGACACGGUCCAGACUCCUAAGGGAGGCAGCAGUAGGGAAUCUUCCGCAAAGGGCGAAAGCAUGACGGAGCAACGCCGCGUGAGUGAUGAAGGUCUUCGGAUCGUAAAACUCUGUUAUUAGGGAAGAACAGAUGUGUAAGUAACUGUGCACAUCGUGACGGUACCUAAUCAGAAAGCCACGGCUAACUACGUG
rnacentral:rRNA from 1 species